rnacentral:rRNA from 1 species
UACGUAGGGUGCGAGCGUUAAUCGGAAUUACUGGGCGUAAAGCGUGCGCAGGCGGUUCGUUGUGUCGGCGGUGAAAGCCCCGGGCUCAACCUGGGAAUGGCCGUUGAAACUGGCGAACUGGAGUGUGGCAGAGGGGGGUGGAAUUCCGCGUGUAGCAGUGAAAUGCGUAGAGAUGCGGAGGAACACCGUUGGCGAAGGCAGCCCCCUGGGCUAACACUGACGCUCAGGCACGAAAGCGUGGGGAGCAAACAGG